rnacentral:rRNA from 1 species
AUUGAACGCUGGCGGCAGGCCUAACACAUGCAAGUCGAACGAGUGGCGGACGGGUGGGUAAGGUCUGGGAAACUGCCUGAUGGAGGGGGAUAACUACUGGAAACGGUAGCUAAUACCGCAUACCAUCGGAUCUGCCCAGGUGGGAUUGGCUAGUAGGGGGGGUAAAGGCUCACCAAGGCGACGAUCCCUAGCGGGCCUGAGAGGCUGACCGGCCACACUGGAACUGAGACACGGUCCAGACUCCUACGGGAGGCAGCAGUGGGGAAUAUUGGGCAAUGGGCGCAAGCCUGAUGCAGCCAUGCCGCGUGAAUGAAGAAGGCCUUCGGGUUGUAAAGUUCUUUCAGCAGGGAGGCGUUACCCGCAGAGGAAGCCACGGCUAACUCCGUGCCAGCAGCCGCGGUAAUAC